UCAACCACCUCUGCUAUUGGUCUUAACAACAACAAGGCGGGAAGGGUUUUGGGAUGUGAUCAUUAGAACAGUAAGCAACACUGCAGAAGUGGAAAAAAGUAUUUGCAUUCUUUAAAAAACAAAGUUGCACAUAUAGUAUCACAGGAUAUAAAAGGAAACUUUCUUACUCCUUGGGCUUGUGAUGAAUUUUGGGCCUAACAUUGGUGAACUGAGACAUGUCUGGUUUUAAUCAACCACCUCCAAGGUUAUUCUUCAGGGCUGCAUAAAGUAAUUUAUAUUUAAGUUAAAAAAUCCUUUAAAGCAAUUGCAUGUGCUGUAAAGAGCAGGCAUUUUGGAUCUGUAGUCUGGUGUCUGCUGUUACUGUAAACAGCUCUUUUGGCGCCCUUGGGUAACGGAAAGUCUGCUAAAUUCAAGACUGAAGGACACCUAAAUGUCACUGACCCCUUUUGUAAGCUUUUGGUGGCCACACCCAAAGCUCUAUCCUGAUUGGAGGCUUCCAGGUGAUUUCUGUCCAACAAUCAUAUUGAUGGCUACCUGGGGGCCUUCAGGAGAUUUCGUGUGAGAAGACGAUCUCGCCAAGUGAGAUGUUGUCAGGAGAGCAGAGAAAAUGCAUAGAAGAGAAAACCCUUCAGGCAGUCGUUGGAAAAACCAUCCAUCCCCUGAGGAAUGCUGGUCUCUGCCAGAGAAAACAACAUAGAGCAAUCUUUGUGUUUGAAACAAAAGCCUGGGCUUUCCCAUAACAAUGCCAAAUCAUCUGUAUCCACUAUUCCCUUGAGAUCCACCUCUAGUGUGACAAUAAACACGAACUUGCCCCCAAGAAAGUGAGAAAAGGCUAACAUUUCCACUGAAUCCAGUGAUACAAAACAAACAAACAUGGACAGGUGGGUUGGGUCAAAAGACCUCUUCCCCUUCGCAGAGUUGCCUGAUACCUUGAUGAGGAUGGAUUUUCUCUUCCUUCUGCUUCCUGAGGCAAAGGGGUGCAAAUGAGUCAGUCUUCCAAGUAAGGAAUAUUUGCACUCCUCAGGAACAAUCUUCUUAGUGCUCAUGCAUCUUGUAAAGACGUAGUUUGCCUAUGACAGGCUAAAAUGAAGGACAGCAAGGCGAUAUGCUUGCCCUUGAAGGACAAUGUAAACAUAUUCCUUGUGUUUUGGAAGAAUGGAAGUACAAAAUAUUUUUUUUAAUCUAUGGAGGCAAACCACUAGCCUGAAAUAAACACCUAAAAAGAUUCUGAUCUUUUCUUCUUCCUGUGUCAGAAUAUAUGUCGAAUAAAAUGCUUUUUCAGCUUCUGCCCUCAAAAUAACUGACCAGCCAGUGUUUGAUAGCAAUCAUCAGACUCCCAUGAUGUCAUAUGACAGCAAGGCUGGAUACCAAAUGCUCUGCUUCGCUGGUCAUCACUCCAAAGACAUGGAUUACUUCCUCACUUCCUCUAAUAAUCUUCCUGCAUGCUGUAGUUGUGACAUUCUUGGCAGCGCUGCCAUAAUUAUUUAAAGAAGGCUAUCGCUUACCAAAGAUUAAAGCAUGAGACAACAGGCUUGUUCCUAAGAAGCAAGACACUGAUCCAGGUCGCGUAUAUGGAAACCAGGAAAUCUGAACUGUGAACAAGCCACAGGAAAUGAUCCAAACUCCAAGCAGACCGACUUUCAAAGAUGCACACAGAUACGCAUCUAAAUAGGAACAUCACCAUACAGUUAGUCUGUCACACUGAAUACCCAGUGUGGAUCUGAAGCUGAUGUAGGCCUGAGGUAAACUGCAAAGCUUGGAUCAGAUUCUCCAACCAUUCUGCUAGUUCACAGCACAGAUAAAUAAGCAAAGACAGACGCUAUUAUCUAGCCCUUUUCUCUUCUACUUCUUCCAGCUGCUCUAUUUGGGUUCACCACAGAUGUACUCAUUUCUGAUUUUGUCCAUUCUAGUCAAUGAAGACCUCCAGCUCAGCCUCUUGUCUUUUUGUCAGUACCACUGUCUACAAACCAUACAUCAUAGCCGGUCUCACUACUAUCUUCCCUUUCACUUCUGCUGCUAUCUUUCUGUCACAAAUCACCCCAGACACUCAUCUCCACCCACUCCACCCAGCAUUCACACUCUUUUUCUCCUCUCUUGUGAACUAUCUGUCGCUAUGUAUGGUUGACCACCUGAUGUAUUCCAACCCCCACCUUGAACUUAUUUUUCACUCCAACCAAAGCAACAUCACACACAUAAAGACUUUUAUCUAAAAUUCACAGUCCAGUGGGUACAUCAAGGACAACUCG